AUUGAACGCUGGCGGCAGGCCUAACACAUGCAAGUCGAGCGGAUGAAGGGAGCUUGCUCCUGGAUUCAGCGGCGGACGGGUGAGUAAUGCCUAGGAAUCUGCCUGGUAGUGGGGGAUAACGUCCGGAAACGGGCGCUAAUACCGCAUACGUCCUGAGGGAGAAAGUGGGGGAUCUUCGGACCUCACGCUAUCAGAUGAGCCUAGGUCGGAUUAGCUAGUUGGUGGGGUAAAGGCCUACCAAGGCGACGAUCCGUAACUGGUCUGAGAGGAUGAUCAGUCACACUGGAACUGAGACACGGUCCAGACUCCUACGGGAGGCAGCAGUGGGGAAUAUUGGUCAAUGGGCGAAAGCCUGAUCCAGCCAUGCCGCGUGUGUGAUGAAGGUCUUCGGAUUGUAAAGCACUUUAAGUUGGGAGGAAGGGCAGUAAGUUAAUACCUUGCUGUUUUGACGUUACCAACAGAAUAAGCACCGGCUAACUUCGUG
rnacentral:rRNA from 1 species